rnacentral:rRNA from 1 species
UUAAAUUGAAGAGUUUGAUCAUGGCUCAGAUUGAACGCUGGCGGCAGGCCUAACACAUGCAAGUCGAGCGGUAGCACA